rnacentral:snRNA from 1 species
GACCUAAUCAACUUUGGCAGGACAUUUACCAGGAUUGAACCGACACAGAGGAGAUUAACAUGGCCCUUGCAUAGGAUGACGGGCAAAUUCAUACAGUUUUCUGGCUUCUG